AGACGGCCCCGUAACACGGGCCGCCCCCGCCAGAGGACCCCCUAACUCUGUUUCUAUAAUGUUUCUUCUGAGUAAACAAGCAAAUAAAUUAAAACUUUCAACAACGGAUCUCUUGGCUCUGGCAUCGAUGAAGAACGCAGCGAAAUGCGAUAAGUAAUGUGAAUUGCAGAAUUCAGUGAAUCAUCGAAUCUUUGAACGCACAUUGCGCCCGCCAGUAUUCUGGCGGGCAUGCCUGUUCGAGCGUCAUUACAACCCUCAGGCCCCCGGGCCUGGCGUUGGGGAUCGGCGGAAGCCCCCUGCGGGCACAACGCCGUCCCCCAAAUACAGUGGCGGUCCCGCCGCAGCUUCCAUUGCGUAGUAGCUAACACCUCGCAACUGGAGAGCGGCGCGGCCACGCCGUAAAACACCCAACUUCUGAAUGUUGACCUCGAAUCAGGUAGGAAUACCCGCUGAACUUAAGCAUA
rnacentral:rRNA from 1 species